UUCGUGUGAACAGUGGUUGAUCACGAGUUAGUCGGUCCUAAGUUCAAGGCGAAAGCCGAAAAUUUUCAAGUAAUAAAAAUUGUAAUAUAUUUAUAUAGUUGUAAUAAAACACUUGAAUAAUUUUGAACGAAAGGGAAUACGGUUCCAAUUCCGUAACCUGUUGAGUAUCCGUUUGUUAUUAAAUAUGGGCCUUGUGCUCAUCCUGGCAACAGGAACGACCAUAAAGAAGCCGUCGAGAGAUAUCGGAAGAGUUUUCUUUUCUGUUUUAUAGCCGUACUACCAUGGAAGUCUUUCGCAGAGAGAUAUGGUAGAUGGGCUAGAAGAGCAUGACAUAUACUGUUGUGUCGAUAUUUUCUCCUCGGACCUUGAAAAUUUAUGGUGGGGAUACGCAAACUUCUCAACAGGCCGUACCAAUAUCCGCAGCUGGUCUCCAAGGUGAAGAGUCUCUAGUCGAUAGAAUA
rnacentral:rRNA from 1 species